rnacentral:lncRNA from 1 species
UCACACGCGCUCCACCAUUCUUUCCCUUUCAUCUUCUUCUUCCGUCCUUCACUCUUUAUCCCUAUGUAUUCAUUCCACUUCGAACUAGGUUUCAAAAAACCCAAAACAACACUUCUGAAUCUCACUUUCUGACUGAAACACAUAUCACACAGUCACAUCUUUGCAUAAAAAUCCAAUUCCUAUUCAAGAAACACAAAUCUCUCAUAAGAAACACAGAUCCUACAGUUGUGGUUGAUUUUUAAACCUAAUCUUAUUACGGUGUAGAUCAGCAUUCACACGGAUUCGUGUUUGAAUUUUGGUUCAUCUUCUGUAUUUUUAACCUGUGAUGGAGUAUAUAAAGCCAUACCAUAUAAUACUCUCUCUCCGUUGUGCAUCUGGUUUUGUUUUCUGGGUGUUAGCUAUUGAAGGAAGGGUUGCUGUUGUUACACAAAUCAGUGAUGAGUUUUGAUGAACUUGAGAAGUGGGCUUGAAGCGGAUGUUUCAACAAGAAUGAGUGCAUAAGUGCAGUGGGCUUGAAGCGGAUGCUUAAUCAGGUGGAAUGGGAAGUGGCAUACAGAACACAAGUAGAGGCUUUUAUUAAUUUACAAAGGUUGAUCAAACAACGUAGAAGCAAUCUUUGGUGUGUAAUGGGAAGUGACAUACUGAUUAAGUAUUAUCCUUCUAUUAAAUUUUGAAGCUUUUGAACACUAAUUAGGGGUGUUUUAGGAAUUUCAAAAAAAAUGCCACGUUGUUGCCUCUUGAUACCUCCACCGCUUCAUCUUUGCUUUAUCUGCAACACAUUAGGGUUCACUACCAUGACAAUCCAUCUGAAACAACACCUCAAUAUCUCCGACGAUUGACU